CCAGACUCCUACGGGAGGCAGCAGUGGGGGAUAUUGGACAAUGGGGGGAACCCUGAUCCAGCGACGCCGCGUGAGUGAAGAAGUAUUUCGGUAUGUAAAGCUCUGUCAGCAGGGAAGAAAGCAAUGACGGUACCUGACCAAGAAGCCCCGGCUAACUACGUGCCAGCAGCCGCGGUAAUACGUAGGGGGCAAGCGUUAUCCGGAAUUACUGGGUGUAAGGGGAGCGUAGACGGCUGUGCAAGUCUGGAGUGAAAGGCGGGGGCCCAACCCCCGGACUGCUCUGGAAACUGCAUGGCUGGAGUGCAGGAGAGGUAAGCGGAAUUCCUAGUGUAGCGGUGAAAUGCGUAGAUAUUAGGAGGAACACCAGUGGCGAAGGCGGCUUACUGGACUGUAACUGACGUUGAGGCUCGAAAGCGUGGGGAGCAAACAGGAUUAGAUACCCUUGUA
rnacentral:rRNA from 1 species